AGCUCUUGACUUCAUCCGCAGCGGGGCUGGGCCCUGUGGGAUUGCUGGCUUCUCAUCUGUCCUUGCAGGUGGAGCUAUCUUGUGGGUGGGUGGCAGGGUGCAAAUUGCUCCAGAGGGUUUGUGAAGCAGAGGGUUGAAACAGAACUGGGGGCUCUGCAUGCCAAACUGCUCCAGGCUGGCUUUCCAUCAGGAGACAUGGAUAUAGCGAGAGCUGGGCACUAGGAUGUGCAAUGGGCUGUCCUCUCUCUUUUUGGAAGUCCCAGUUGAUUCACACCAGGAUCCACAAACAAGAAGCCCGACAGAGUUUCACCACGAUUUGGGCAUUCCUGGGACUGUCUGUGGCAAUAGCAGAUCUGGACAAAGGUGGAGCAUUUGGCUUUUUGGGGUAGUACGUCCAUCGCAUCGCUGGGAUGGGACCUGACUGGUGUUAACAUCAGGAGGAGAAAGCAGCACCUGAGUGCCUGCAGAGGUAAUGAGGAUUCAACUAGCUCUACUCUACAGAUGGGAAAACUGCAGUACAGAAAGCAGCAAUUUCACUGAGCGUUACAGAGCAAAGCAGAAGUCACCCUGGUGAUUCAGAUGGCUUGUGAGCCAAUUCCCAGCUGAAAUACAGCCCACACAGUGCUGCUUGGAGCAGCUCAUGGUUGAAGUGCCAAGGAGGAGCAUCCUCUCUGGGUACUGAUGGAUGCGCGACCACAGGCAGGUGAGGGCACUUACUGAAAGGAGCCUAGUGGCUUUAUGAAUUGAUAUCUGGGCAGUGAAUAAUAGCUGGUACAUGAUAUUAGAUGUUGAAAGCAGCUGACUGAGCAGUGAGAAGAUGAGCCCUUGGGAGAUUUAGCAGCUACAGCCCAGAGCUGCUGGGGCAGAGCUGACUUAAUGUAUGAGACCAGAAGGAAAAUCCUUUCACAGUGCAAUGCUGUUGAAAAAGUGCAUACAAAAAGUGCAUACUAAAGAAAAGAAAAAGAAAGAUGUAUUUUUUGUUUU